rnacentral:rRNA from 1 species
CCCUUAGAUGUUCUGGGCCACACGCGCGUUACACUGAUGAAGCCAGCGAGUAUAUCGCCUUCACCGGAAGGUGCGGGUAAUCUUGUGAAACUUCAUCGUGCUGGGGAUAGACCAUUGCAAUUAUUGGUCUUGAACGAGGAAUUCCUAGUAAGCACGAGUCAUCAACUCGUGCUGAUUACGUCCCUGCCCUUUGUACACACCGCCCGUCGCUACUACCGAUUGAAUGGUUUAGUGAGAUCUCGGGAUUGGCGACGCCAUGCCGCGAGGCACGGCGCCGCCGAGAACUUGCUCAAACUUGAUCAUUUAGAGGAAGUAAAAGUCGUAACA